UAGGUCAAUGGGCUGAAGAGAGAC
rnacentral:piRNA from 1 species